rnacentral:misc_RNA from 1 species
GAUGAAGAACGCAGUGAAAUGCGAUAAGUAAUGUGAAUUGCAGAAUUCAGUGAAUCAUCGAAUCUUUGAACGCACAUUGCGCCUUCUGGUAUUCCGGUAGGCAUGCCUGUCUGAGCGUCAGCAAAACACCCCUCAGCCUGAGUAUUUUUGUACUUAACGCUGGUUUUGGGCAGUGGGAUGCCGGUGGGAGUUUAAUUCUUUUCCUGCCUGCGCCCUCCCUAAACUUGCUGUACGACCGAAAGCACCUUCUAGCCAGGUCAAUGGAGUGGUGUUACAAUCUUCCAGAAAAGCCUGCUGGACAACUGCUUCACGGCGUUAAACCAAAGAGCCUCCCUCCCUCCGUGGAGGCUUGAAGUUUUGACCUCAGAUCAGACAAGGAUACCCGCUGAACUUAAGCAUAUCAAUAAGCGGAGGA